rnacentral:rRNA from 1 species
UCUUCGGAUGGAGUGGCAGACGGGUGAGUAACGCGUGGGAACGUACCCUUUGGUUCGGAAUAUUCUCGGGAAACUGAGAGCAAUACCGGAUAAGCCCUACGGGGGAAAGAUUUAUCGCCAAAGGAGCGGCCCGCGUCAGAUUAGGUAGUUGGUGGGGUAAAGGCCUACCAAGCCUACGAUCUGUAGCUGGUCUGAGAGGAUGAUCAGCCACACUGGGACUGAGACACGGCCCAGACUCCUACGGGAGGCAGCAGUGGGGAAUAUUGGACAAUGGGCGCAAGCCUGAUCCAGCCAUGCCGCGUGGAUGAUGAAGGCCUUAGGGUUGUAAAAUCCUUUCAACGGGGACGAUAAUGACGGUACCCGUAGAAGAAGCCCCGGCUAACUUCGUGCCAGCAGCCGCGGUAAUACGAAGGGGGCUAGCGUUGCUCGGAAUUACUGGGCGUAAAGCGCACGUAGGCGGAUAUUUAAGUCGGAGGUGAAAGCCCAGGGCUCAACCCUGGAACUGCCCUCGAUACUGGGUAUCUGGACCAAAGUAGAGGUAAGUGGAAUUCCGAGUGUAGAGGUGAAAUUCGUAGAUAUUCGGA